ensembl:miRNA
GACCAGUGCGAGGCCUGUGGGAGAUGGCGUCAAAGAAAUGCCUCACAGGCCACCCACUUCUCAU